rnacentral:rRNA from 1 species
CGAACGGACUAUUUUGAAGAGUAAUCGGAUCUAUAGGUUAGUGGCGAAAGGGCGAGGAAUAAAUAGGUAACGUACCCCGAACUCCAGAAUAGCGUCUCGAAAGAGGCAGUAAUACUGGAUGAUAUGGUUUGCUUAAUGUAAAUCAUCAAAGAUUUAUCGGUUUGGGAGCGGCCUAUUUCCCAUCAGCUUGUUGGUAAGGUAACGGCUUACCAAGGCUACGACGGGUAUCGGNACUGAGAGGUUGACCCGACGCAUCGGAACUGAGACACUGUCCGGACCUCCACGGAGGGCUGCAGUAACGAAUAUUGCACAAUGGGCGAAAGCCUGAUGCAGCAACGCCGCGUGUAGGAUGAAGCUCCUUGGAGUGUAAACUACUGUCAGGGGUCAGAAAGUGCGCUUCGGCGUAUUGAUCACCCCCAGAGGAAGUCACGGCUAACUUCGUGCCNNCAGCCGCGGUAAUACGAAGGUGGCGAGCGUUGUUCGGAAUUAUUGGGCUUAAAGAGCACGUANGCGGAUAUGUAAGUGUCUUGUGAAAACCCCCGGCUUAACCGGGGAAUUGCUUGGCAAACUACAUAUCUUGAGUCAAGUAGGGGUACAUGGAACUCUUA